rnacentral:tRNA from 1 species
CAGGCUUGUAGCUCAGGUGGUUAGAGCGCACCCCUGAUAAGGGUGAGGUCGGUGGUUCAAGUCCACUCAGGCCUACCA